rnacentral:rRNA from 1 species
AGUGAACGCUGGCGGUAGGCCUAACACAUGCAAGUCGACCGGCAGCACAGUAAGAGCUUGCUCUUACGGGUGGCGAGUGGCGGACGGGUGAGGAAUACAUCGGAAUCUACUUUUUCGUGGGGGAUAACGUAGGGAAACUUACGCUAAUACCGUAUACGACCUACGGGUGAAAGCAGGGGAUCUUCGGACCUUGCGCGAUUGAAUGAGCCGAUGUCGGAUUAGCUAGUUGGCGGGGUAAAGGCCCACCAAGGCGACGAUCCGUAGCUGGUCUGAGAGGAUGAUCAGCCACACUGGAACUGAGACACGGUCCAGACUCCUACGGGAGGCAGCAGUGGGGAAUAUUGGACAAUGGGCGCAAGCCUGAUCCAGCCAUACCGCGUGGGUGAAGAAGGCCUUCGGGUUGUAAAGCCCUUUUGUUGGGAAAGAAAAGCAGCAGGUUAAUACCCCGCUGUUCUGACGGUACCCAAAGAAUAAGCACCGGCUAACUUCGU